UUGAAACUUUGGUUCCCGUAGGAUCACCGAAGUUAAGCAACCUUAAGCCUGUUCAGUACCUAGAUGGGUGAAUGCUUGGGAAUACCAGGUGCUGUAA